UUAAAUGGCUUCAGAUUCAAUAGGAAUAACUAAAGAGUUGUUCUCUUCUCUUCUAUGCCGUGAGGAAGAAUUUUCAAAUUUAUACUAUUUAUUAGAACAAGGUCCAAAUUUCUUUAUUGAUCUUCCCCCCCACAUUUAUGUAUGGGGCCCACCUGCCACUGGAAAAACUUUUGUUGUGAAUUUAUUAAUCCAGAAAUUAAACUUGACCUCUGCUUUCUGCGAUUGCUCCUUACAUUCGAGCGCUUCUUCCUUAUUCCGUUCCAUCCUUAAACAACUUAAUGGCCAAGUUUCGGUCUCGCACAUAACUGAAAACUUUUUUGUUUCAGAAGUGAAAACAGUUUUUCAAAAUAACAAGGAGAAACCUUUUCUUAUUGUUCUUGAGAAACCCGAAAAAUUAAAAGAAAAGAAGAUUACUGACUGUUUGGAAGUUUUGUUAAACUUAAGCUUCUAUAGCCACCGCAACAUCUGCAUACUCAUGACUAGCCACCUCCCUUUUGAAAACUUUCUGUGUCCACACGUUUAUUUUACGC